UGGGGAAUAUUGGACAAUGGGCGCAAGCCUGAUCCAGCCAUGCCGCGUGAGUGAUGAAGGCCCUAGGGUUGUAAAGCUCUUUCACCGGUGAAGAUAAUGACGGUAACCGGAGAAGAAGCCCCGGCUAACUUCGUGCCAGCAGCCGCGGUAAUACGAAGGGGGCUAGCGUUGUUCGGAAUUACUGGGCGUAAAGCGCACGUAGGCGGACAUUUAAGUCAGGGGUGAAAUCCCGGGGCUCAACCCCGGAACUGCCUUUGAUACUGGGUGUCUAGAGUUCGAGAGAGUGAGUGGAAUUCCGAGUGUAGAGGUGAAAUUCGUAGAUAUUCGGAGGAACACCAGUGGCGAAGGCGGCUCACUGGCUCGAUACUGACGCUGAGGUGCGAAAGCGUGGGGAGCAAAACAGGAUUAGAUACCCUGGUAGUCCACGCCGUAAACGAUGGAAGCCAGCUGUCGGCAAGUUUACUUGUCGGUGGCGCAGCUAACGCAUUAAGCUUCCCGCCUGGGGAGUACGGUCGCAAGAUUAAAACUCAAAGGAAUUGACGGGGUCAUAGCUGUUUCCUG
rnacentral:rRNA from 1 species